rnacentral:misc_RNA from 1 species
GAUGAAGAACGCAGCGAAAUGCGAUAAGUAAUGUGAAUUGCAGAAUUCAGUGAAUCAUCGAAUCUUUGAACGCACCUUGCGCCCUUUGGCCAUUCCGAAGGGCAUGCCUGUUUGAGUAUCAUGAACACCUCAACUCUCAUGGCUUGCCAUGAUGAGCUUGGACUUUGGGGGUCUUGCUGGCCUGUGGUCGGCUCCUCUCAAAUGAAUCAGCUUGCCAGUGUUUGGUGGCAUCACAAGUGUGAUAACUAUCUGCGCUCGUGGUUUCCAUCAGAUAACCUCCAGUGAUGGAGGUUCGCUGGAGCUCAUAAAUGUCUCUCCUAAGCGAGGACAGCUCUAUUAAUGUUUGAUCUCAAAUCAGGUAGGACUACCCGCUGAACUUAAGCAUAUCAAUAAGCGGAGGA